rnacentral:piRNA from 1 species
UAAGUGCUCCGUGCCUGCAAGGA